rnacentral:lncRNA from 1 species
GUCGAGACUCCUCUACCCUGUGCUAAGGUGUAUGAGUUUCGACCCCAGAGCUCUGUGUGCUUUCAUGUUGCUGCUUUAUUUCGACCCCAGAGCUCUGGUCUGUGUGCUUUCAUGUCGCUGCUUUAUUAAAUCUUACCUUCUACAUUUUAUGUAUGGUCUCAGUGUCUUCUUGGGUACGCGGCUGUCCCGGGACUUAAGUGUCUGAGUGAGGGUCUUCCCUCGAGGGUCUUUCAUUUGGUACAUGGGCCGGGAAUUCGAGAAUCUUUCAUUUGGUGCAUUGGCCGGGAAACAGCGCGACCACCCAGAGGUCCUAGACCCACUUAGAGGUAAGAUUCUUUGUUCUGCUUUGGUCUGAUGUCUGUGUUCUGAUGUCUGUGUUCUAAUGUCUGUGUUCUGUUUCUAAGUCUGGUGCGAUCGCAGUUUCAGUUUUGCGGAUGCUCAGUGAGACCGCGCUCCGAGAGGGAGUGCGGGGUGGAUAAGGAUAGACGUGUCCAGGUGUCCACCGUCCGUUCGCCCUGGGAGACGUCCCAAGAAGAACAGGGGAGGAUCAGGGACGCCUGGUGGACCCCUUUGAAGGCCAAGAGACCAUUUGGGGUUGCGAGAUCGUGGGUUAGAGUCCCACCUCGUGCCCAGUUGCGAGAUCGUGGGUUCGAGUCCCACCUCGUGUUUUGUUGCGAGAUCGUGGGUUCGAGUCCCACCUCGUGUUUUGUUGCGAGAUCGUGGGUUCGAGUCCCACCUCGCGUCUGGUCACGGGAUCGUGGGUUCGAGUCCCACCUCGUGUUUUGUUGCAAGAUCGUGGGUUCGAGUCCCACCUCGUGCAGAGGGUCUCAAUUGGCCGGCCUUAGAGAGGCCAUCUGAUUCUUCUGGUUUCUUUUUUGUCUUAGUCUCGUGUCCGCUCUUGUUGUGACUACUGUUUUUCUAGAAAUGGGACAAUCUGUGUCCACUCCCCUUUCUCUGACUCUGGUUCUGUCGCUUGGUAAUUUUGUUUGUUUACGUUUGUUUUUGUGAGUCGUCUAUGUUGUCUGUUACUAUCUUGUUUUUGUUUGUGGUUUACGGUUUUUGUGUGUGUCUUUUGUGUCUCUUUGUGUUCGGACUUGGACUGAUGACUGACGACUGUUUUUAAGUUAUGCCUUCUGAAAUAAGCCUAAAAAUCCUGUCAGAUCCCUAUGCUGACCACUUCCUUUCAGAUCAACAGCUGCCCUGCCUCCCACUCCAACUCCAGAGAGCAGCCAGCGGGUCACAGUGGUCCCGCCCAUGGACCUAGACCUAGGGAAAAAUGAGCUCGGAAAUCCGGAGCAAAAGAGGGGUGGUCCCUGAGAAGUCAGUGGCCUGGAUGCUGUGGCUGCUGAAGAAAAAAAGAAGAGGAGGCUGUGCGAGUAGCCGGCCAAGAGCGCCGCAGGUUCCCAGGCAGCUUCUCAUUCCCCUGUCCCUCCCAUCCCGUCUCUUGUUAACAGAAAAACUGCUUUCACUUUAAGAUAAGUGCCGGUUGCAGCCAGCUGUGAGAGCUGCACUCCCGUCUCUGCUCUAAAGUUCCCUCUUCUCAGAAGGUGGCACCACCCUGAGUUGCUGGCAGUGAGUCUGUUCCAAGUUCCAGUGAGGGAGGCAUCCGCCCACUUGGGGCUUCUGUCCAAGGUAAGGAGCACCUGUGAGUCUAACUGCCAGGCUCUGAUGGGGGUCUCGUCUCUGUGGGACUAGAAAGUAUCCCAACAAUCUGACCAAGGUAACAGGAAGAUACAAAAGCAAAGAGAAGGACAGGUUAAGUUGGUAAGAAAGUUAGUGUAAGUAGAUAAGAAAGUGCAGAAGAGGAAAAACAAAGGAAGGAUAGAGGUCUGCAAAAAAGUGAGCUAAAAGCAAAUCUUCAGCAGACUCAGGAGAGAUAG